GCCAGACCCUAUGUGCGAAGCAAGGGGGGAAGCAGCUCCAGACAUUUAUUGCCCUGAAAACCUGCCUAGGCGUUCCCAGAGGAAUAGGAGGCCGGUGGACAGGAUGAACUUGAUGCACCGAUGUGCCAGCGGAAAUGAAAGGUUGAACGACGUCCGACAGGAGAUAAAAAAUCUUUUAGGUUGGGAUCAGAGAAACCCCUCGAAAGUGGUACAUUGCUUAAACUGGGCUAUACACGAAAUACUGGAGGUGUUGGAUAAGUGGUCUAGUCCAGCAAUAGUCGAAACAGAUGUGUGAAGGUAGAGGGUGCGAAUUUAUUUGUUAGGGUUGCGAUGUGAAAUGGUCACAUUUCUAGGGAAAUAGCGCCCAUUUUAUUUAGGGGGGGGUGACUGUAACACCCAUGACAUUUAGAGAAAAUGUCAUGUGUAUUUACACAUUUAUAAAAGAAAUAUAGAGCUAUAUUUUUUAUGUCGACUCUCGCGGUAACGGGAGUUUGACGAGAGUUUGACCGGUAUAAAUAACUUCCGGUCGAGCUGAGACUUCCUUUCUGUUGAGUGUCGAGGACGAGGGGGUCGAAGUGGAAGGUUGUCCUAAUUCAGGGCAACAUACUUUAACUUUACCCCUUACCCUUCACUUUUCCCCUUCACCUCAUCCCAAUAAAGAAUUCGGGUUGACGAA